rnacentral:rRNA from 1 species
UACAGAGGGUGCGAGCGUUAAUCGGAAUUACUGGGCGUAAAGCGUGCGUAGACGGUUAUUUAAGUCGGAUGUGAAAGCCCCGGGCUCAACCUGGGAAUUGCAUUCGAGACUGAAUAGCUAGGGUGCGGUAGAGGGAAGCGGAAUUUCCGGUGUAGCGGUGAAAUGCGUAGAUAUCGGAAGGAACAUCAGUGGCGAAAGCGGCUUCCUGGACCAGCACCGACGUUCAGGCACGAAAGCCGUGGGGAGCAAACAGG